rnacentral:siRNA from 1 species
CCGGAUCCGCCCAAGUUCUAAUUG